rnacentral:rRNA from 1 species
CCUACGGGGGCUGCAGUGGGGAAUAUUGGACAAUGGGCGAAAGCCUGAUCCAGCCAUGCCGCGUGUGUGAAGAAGGCCUUCGGGUUGUAAAGCACUUUCAGUGGGGAAGAAAGCCUUGGGGCUAAUACCCUCGAGGAAGGACAUCACCCACAGAAGAAGCACCGGCUAACUCCGUGCCAGCAGCCGCGGUAAUACGGAGGGUGCGAGCGUUAAUCGGAAUCACUGGGCGUAAAGCGCGCGUAGGCGGUCUGAUAAGCCGGUUGUGAAAGCCCCGGGCUCAACCUGGGAACGGCAUCCGGAACUGUCAGGCUAGAGUGCAGGAGAGGAAGGUAGAAUUCCCGGUGUAGCGGUGAAAUGCGUAGAGAUCGGGAGGAAUACCAGUGGCGAAGGCGGCCUUCUGGACUGACACUGACGCUGAGGUGCGAAAGCGUGGGUAGCAAACAGGAUUAGAUACCCGGGUAGUC